AUUCAGCCUGGACCUUCUCUGUGCACAACUGGGCUGGAUUUGGACCAUCUCCCAUGUUAUACGAAACAGUGUGUGGCUCAUCUUGAACACUUCGCUGAAACAAACACAAACAGAGGAAACAAAGUAAAGAAACGUCUCUGUAGCAGCAAUUUUCAGGCUACUUGGGCGACUUGGCCAAAAUGGCCUUAAGGAGAACGUGGCAGCAUCAGUGGAGGAUCUAACAAAAAGCAUAACUGAGUUCAGGGGACAAAAUGAUUUGCCGUGGGAGCUGCAGCUCGCAGUGGUUUAUGCCACUCAUGAUCUGGCACCCAGCAGCCCCACGCUUUGGAACCGUGGAAGAAAGACCUCACAAAGCCCGUUCCUCCAGCCGUCACCAAGUGCCUGAAGCAGAUCAGCUUUCUCUGUUC